UCUUUAACACUUUAGGUAGUAUAACAAACCAAUAUAUAGUGGCGGUUCUUAAUCCUUAAAAAAAUUCGCCCCAUAAUCGAAAUCACCCGUUAAAUUUCACCAAAACCAAAAGCCUAUAUACCGCCGCUCAAAGAAUUUACACCAUUUUAUCUUUAAACUUUAAAAUAAAAAAAAUCAGGUCAAGGUGUAGCCCACGUCUUAGGAGAGGGUAAACAGAACUUAAUCAAUACACAUAAACAAAACUCAAGUUAAGUUAAAAAAAAUUUAUAUGUACAAAUAAAAUAAUAUGUUAUAUAGAAAUAAAAACUAAGAAUGC
rnacentral:rRNA from 1 species